AUUCUUCAAGAAAAGCAGCUUCCUUCAAUCUAACCCAGUCCAGAGAAGAGUGAGCAUCAUCUUGUGCUCUCCAGAAAAAUAAAUUAAAGCAGAAUCCCCAGAAAUGAGAUCAAUACCUCAGGAGGUGAGAGACUUCACCUGCAAUGCGCACCUCCCCUGGUGUACUGUGUAUCCCAGGCCCAAGAAGAUACGACCAAGUGGCCAGAAACGGAAGCCUUUAAAAAUCACAAGGUCAAAUAGACAUUUUCUCC